CUUUAUUGGAGAGUUUGAUCCUGGCUCAGGACGAACGCUGGCGGCAUGCCUAAUACAUGCAAGUCGAGCGGA
rnacentral:rRNA from 4 species